rnacentral:rRNA from 1 species
UACGUAGGGUGCGAGCGUUGUCUGGAAUUAUUGGGCGUAAAGAGCUCGUAGGCGGUCUGUCGCGUCUGCUGUGAAAACCCGAGGCUCAACCUCGGGCCUGCAGUGGGUACGGGCAGACUAGAGUGCGGUAGGGGAGAAUGGAAUUCCUGGUGUAGCGGUGGAAUGCGCAGAUAUCAGGAGGAACACCGAUGGCGAAGGCAGUUCUCUGGGCCGUAACUGACGCUGAGGAGCGAAAGCGUGGGGAGCGAACAGG